UCAGGAUUACUAGAUACAGAGGUGGUUUGGCAGACUCCAAUGAGCAAACGUCCUUGACUCACUCGCCUAAAUUUACAGCAGCGACAGUUCGAGAAAGAAAACCACUGGUGGCAGUAUUGAAAGGAGACUGCGGUAGAAGAACUGCGUUAAAGAUCAGCUGCUUCUCGUCCAGAGGGACACCUACCCCUGCGUCAAACUGAAAGGACACGCUGUGAGCAGCGGCCAUGGCGAUGAACAGCAAUACAGAAACGUCCCAAAGUACAAGGUGCAUAAAGGAAACAACAGUUACUGCAAGUCAGUUCACAAACAAACUCAGGCUGGGGGGUUGCUGGCAGAGCACUUGUAAUGCGACGAGGGGUACUCACCAGACCAACUUUGACUUCCACGUCCGGCACUGUCACCCGG